rnacentral:tRNA from 1 species
UCCCUGGCAGUCCAGUGGUUAGAACAUGGUGCUGUUGCUGCCAAGGCCCUGGGUUCGAUCCCUGGUUGGGGAA